AAAGUACUCCCUCCGUCCCAAAAUUCUUGUCUUAGAUUUGUCUAGAUACGGAUGUAUCAAGUUACAUUUUAGUACUAGAUACAUCCGUAUCUAGACAAAUAUAAGACAAGAAAUUUGGGACAGAGGGAGUAGUUG
rfam:Triticum aestivum genome assembly, contig: Triticum_aestivum_CS42_TGACv1_scaffold_281150_3DS